GAUGUUGAGCAAGAAACUGGUCUUCUGGAAUAAGCAUAGAAUCAUCAAGCUUCUGUCUCUUUGGUUCUGGUUCUUCAGGAAGUGGUGGUGGAGCUUCAUCUGGUGGAGGUGGUGGAGGUAUUCCUUGAGGCAAAGGUGGUGGCUGCAUCAUAGACAUAGAAGGAGGAGCAACUGGAAGAGGAACAUACGAUCGGGGAACAGAGACAGGAGUAAACUGAGAACCUGGAGGUGGUGGUACAGGAAUACCAGGCAAAUUCACAGGAAUUGGCGGAGGCAUUGAUGGUGGUCGAUUAACCAUAAUUGGAGGUUGCCCAGCUUGCAUAGGUAAUGGCGGUUGGCGAAUUGAUGGAAUCAUCUGGAUACCAAUUGGCCUGGGCUGAUGAGGUACUGGGAUUCCACCACUAGUUGGAGGUGCAUACUGG
rnacentral:lncRNA from 1 species